rnacentral:rRNA from 1 species
GACGAACGCUGGCGGCGUGCUUAACACAUGCAAGUCGAACAGUGGCGAACGGGUGAGUAACACGUGAGUAACCUGCCCUCCCCUUUGGGAUAACUCCGCGAAAUCGGGGCUAAUACUGAAUAGUGGGGGAUGGGCUCGUGGCCUAUCCGUUUGUUGGUGAGGUAGUGGUCACCACGGCGGGACGGGUAGCCGGCCUGGGAGGGCGACCGGCCACACUGGGACUGAGACACGGCGCAGACUCGUACGGGGGGCAGCGGUGGGGAGUAUUGCACAAUGGGGGAGAGCCUGAGGCAGCGGCGCCGCGGGGGGGAGGACGGACUUCGGGUUGGAAACCUCUUUCAGCAAGGAAGCGGUACUUGCAGAAGAAGCGCCGGCUAACUACGUGCCAGCCGCCGCGGUAAUAC